UUAUAGUAUUAAGUAUUGCUUCUUUGCAAACUUGUGGGUAGUUUCAGUUAGGUGAUUACUGCAGUUAAGGCACUAGGCUGCUGUUAUAUACACUGAAGAGGACAAAGACAUUGUUACAUCCCAUUUUUAUUCUCAUCUCUUUCUUGAAAAUCUGUUUGGGGGGGGAGGGCUGCAUUCUAUUUAAUAUUUAAAUAGCUGAAGCACAAAUUUAACCAUGUUGUAUGGUAUUCCACUCUGUAGCAAUUUUACAAUUUAUUGCUGGGUGCAUCUUGCAUCAAACAUGUUUUUAAAGUUUAUCAGGCAGGAAAAUGACUUCCCCUGUCUUCUGUUAAAGGAACAGGAGUACUUGUGGCACCUUAGGGACUAACAAAUUUAUCUGAGCAUAAGCUUGCGUGGGCUACAGCCCACUUCUUUGGAUGCAUAGUGAUCAGUUACAUAUACUUCCUUAGAGAAGACCUUCCUCUUUUAGUUUAAGGUGGCCAUGGCAACAAUGCUCUAUCAGACUUGUAGGCAUCCAAUUUAGGUAGCUUAAGAGCUUUUAUUAAAUCUAUUUUAUAUAGACUUUGAAUUACUGAGUACCUUAUAAGAGAGAAAGG